rnacentral:rRNA from 1 species
GAUGAACGCUGGCGGCGUGCCUAAUACAUGCAAGUCGAGCGAACAGACGAGGAGCUUGCUCCUCUGACGUUAGCGGCGGACGGGUGAGUAACACGUGGAUAACCUACCUAUAAGACUGGGAUAACUUCGGGAAACCGGAGCUAAUACCGGAUAAUAUAUUGAACCGCAUGGUUCAAUAGUGAAAGACGGUUUUGCUGUCACUUAUAGAUGGAUCCGCGCCGCAUUAGCUAGUUGGUAAGGUAACGGCUUACCAAGGCAACGAUGCGUAGCCGACCUGAUAGGGUGAUCGGCCACACUGGAACUGAGACACGGUCCAGACUCCUACGGGAGGCAGCAGUAGGGAAUCUUCCGCAAUGGGCGAAAGCCUGACGGAGCAACGCCGCGUGAGUGAUGAAGGUCUUCGGAUCGUAAAACUCUGUUAUUAGGGAAGAACAAAUGUGUAAGUAACUAUGCACGUCUUGACGGUACCUAAUCAGAAAGCCACGGCUAACUACGU